CUUCAUUACAGGUCACAAGCACAGAAACAGCAGCAGCGUCGAUUUUUCCGAAGAUUCCCGAUUCGGAGCUCGACUUUCCGGAAGAUCCGGGUACUGGGCUUCAACCUCAACAUAACAGCAAUGGCGGAGGCAGCAGCUACAGCGGCUCCAGCAAUAACAGGAGCCUGGACCAAACACGUCACCUGCAGGUAUUUCAUGCAUGGGCUUUGCAAAGAAGGCACCAACUGUCGAUAUUCCCAUGAUCUUAACACCAGCCAACCAGCUGCAGCUAUGAUUUGCAAGUUCUUUCAGAAAGGAAACUGUGUGUUUGGGGACCGGUGCAGGUUUGAACACUCUAAAGAAGACGGGCCCAAGCCGUCGCUGCCGCCCUCCGCCUGCGCCCUUCUCCCUCCUACGUCCCUCACCGCCAGCGCCCCAGCCCCCGUUCCCAGUGGAUCAGCGGGUGGUGAGUCGGCAGACGGCCCAGAGAACCCUCAUGGAUCAGGGGCAGGGGACUGGGUUAUGGCGGCAGAGUUUGUACCAGGCCAGCCGUACUAUUGUGGAAGGGACCCAGUGAAGUCUGAAGGGUCGGGGAUGAGGAUGGGUCCUCUGAUGGAGCAAGAGAAAGACCCUGCGGUAGACAAUAAGGAGUUGAGGAAGACUCUGUGUCCCUACGCCGCCAUGGGGGAGUGUCGCUACGGACUUAACUGUGCCUAUCUCCAUGGCGACGUGUGUGACAUGUGCGGACUGCAGGUGCUCCAUCCCUCCAACGACGCCCAGCGAUCGGAACACACCAAGGUAACGGUCCCGUCAACACACCAAGGUAACGGUCCCGUCAACACACCAAGGUAACGGUCCCGUCAACACACCAAGGUAACGGUCCCGUCAACACACCAAGGUAACGGUCCCGUCAACACACCAAGGUAACGGUCCCGUCAACACACCAAGGUAACGGUCCCGUCAACACACCAAGGUAACGGUCCCGUCAACACACACCAAGGUAACGGUCCCGUCAACACACACCAAGGUAACGGUCCCGUCAACACACCCCAAGGUAACGGUCCCGUCAACACACCCCAAGGUAACGGUCCCGUCAACACACACCAAGGUAACGGUCCUGUCAACACACCAAGGUAACGGUCCUGUCAACACACCAAGGUAACGGUCCUGUCAACACACCAAGGUAACGGUCCCGUCAACACACGCCAAGGUAACGGUCCCGUCAACACACGCCAAGGUAACGGUCCCGUCAACACACGCCAAGGUAACGGUCCCGUCAACACACGCCAAGGUAACGGUCCCGUCAACACACCAAGGUAACGGUCCCGUCAACACACCAAGGUAACGGUCCCGUCAACACACCAAGGUAACGGUCCCGUCAACACACCAAGGUAACGGUCCCGUCAACACACACCAAGGUAACGGUCCCGUCAACACACACCAAGGUAACGGCCCCGUCAACACACCAAGGUAACGGCCCCGUCAACACACCAAGGUAACGGCCCCGUCAACACACCAAGGUAACGGCCCGUCAACACACCAAGGUAACGGUCCCGUCAACACACCAAGGUAACGGUCCCGUCAACACACCAAGGUAACGGUCCCGUCAACACACACCAAGGUAACGGUCCCGUCAACACACCAAGGUAACGGUCCCGUCAACACACCAAGGUAACGGUCCCGUCAACACACCAAGGUAACGGUCCCGUCCAACACACCAAGGUAACGGCCCCGUCAACACACCAAGGUAACGGCCCCGUCAACACACACCAAGGUAACGGCCCCGUCAACACACCAAGGUAACGGUCCCGUCAACACACGCCAAGGUAACGGUCCCGUCAACACACCAAAGGUAACGGUCCCGUCAACACACCAAGGUAACGGUCCCGUCAACACACCAAAGGUAACGGUCCCGUCAACACACCAAGGUAACGGUCCCGUCAACACACCAAGGUAACGGUCCCGUCAACACACGCCAAGGUAACGGUCCCGUCCAACACACGCCAAGGUAACGGUCCCGUCAACACACGCCAAGGUAACGGUCCCGUCAACACACGCCAAGGUAACGGUCCCGUCAACACACGCCAAGGUAACGGUCCCGUCAACACACGCCAAGGUAACGGUCCCGUCAACACACGCCAAGGUAACGGUCCCGUCAACACACGCCAAGGUAACGGUCCCGUCAACACACACCAAGGUAACGGUCCCGUCAACACACAC